GCUCAACUUUAUCCGUAAACAAUAAAAAUAAUAUAUAUAUAGUUUGGUUUUUGAUUCUUUAUCUAUUUUUAUUUGAACCGAAAAAUCAAGAGUUUUAUUGGAACCAUUAUGUGAGUUUUAUAUUAAAAAACGCAAAAUACGUAGUGUGAACAUAUUUAUGAAUAUAGUGUGAACGCGUUAGCAUAUUUAUUAUCAAAUCAUUGUGAAGCUGCCACGUAUCUAUUAUAAUAUGAAUGCAUUUAUUACAAUGCUUCUCUUCUAAUAUGUAAGGGAUUUCUUUACAUUUUUGUCAUUUGUGCUUUCCGGCGUCUUUGUAAGAAUAUUCGAAAUAGGUAAGGUUCUUUUUGUGGCCGAGUUAGGCGAACUCUCGCCUACAGGCCAACUGCUCUUUGCGGCUACUUCUGUUUCACAAAGCUUAAUCGUGUGUGUUGUUUCUCCUCAUGUCAUUUAUUGGUUAGCUGUGGUAAAACCAAUUCUAACACUAUAUCUAUAUCUAUAUCCUUUAACAAAAAAAAAAACACUAUAUCUAUAUUUUUUUGUAUAUGUUUAUAUGUUUACAAUAGAAACAAAAAAAAUGCUCAAUCAUAAAAUAGUGUCCAUUCCUAACAUCUUUUGGAAUUUGGAUUGAUCGGAAACGUUUUCAUCUAACUGAUUAAACAAAGCAUGCAUUGUUUGCUUAUAAAUCAUAAAUCGCUAUAUAAAGAGUGUCAAACUAUGAUAGCUAUAUACACGUCUAAGAACUUUCUACUAGUCUUUCUGUUUUAGUCGAUGGAUUGUUCGAAAUUAGAAAAUCAGAAUCAAAGGAGGCAACGUUCUUCGCAAGUUCGCAUCAUGGAAGUAGUGGAGAAGUCUUACUUGUCUUUUGUUCACCAGUAAACCCUUCUUGGAUUUAUUAGACCUCACCACCUUUUGAAAUAACCAUCUUUUUAAACAUUAAAUUUCAUACGCUUCAAAUUAUAUAGUAACGGGGAUAGAAACUUAGAAAUGUAAUAUAUGUGCAUAUCACCGAAAGACGACUCGUACGUAUCGUUUGGUUUUGUUUUUGACUUUUCACUACUUGUUCUAAUGGAAUUAGGUGGUGUUGUGCAGAAUAAUUUUUUUAAUUUAAAUUAUAUUUUAUUAAUAUUGUAUAUUUCAUUAUUUUCUUACCAAUAUAAUAAAAUAAAUUGAUUUAAUGAAACAUAAAAUUAAGAUAAAAAAUAUUUUUUAUUUUAAAUUACAUUUAAGAAAAUAUAUGUAUAUAUUUAUAAUUAUAAUCUUAGAUAGAUUUUUUGUCUAUUCAUUUUGGUUGAAUAUAUUAAAUCAACUUGUAUAAAAUAAAUAAAAGAAUUGAUAUAAAAUAUUGUAAUUAUCAAAAACUAAAACUAAACAGUAUUUUUAUAAAACUUGUAGAUAUAUAAAAGAAACUAAUGAUAUUAUGAUUUAAACUUUAUAAUUUUAAAAAACAAAAUUUUAAAAUUUUGGUAAUAUUUUUUUUAUAACUAUAAAAAAUAGAAUUAAUAAUAUUUUGAAAUUUGUAAUGUCAUAUUUGAAUAUAUUUAUUUUAAUGAUGAGGAAUGUGUUAUUACCAUAUUCUGAAGAAAAUACUAACAUUAAAAAUCAACACUAAAUGUAAUUUAUGAGUUAUUACAAUACUCUAUAAAAUUUACCAAAAAUAUAAAUUAACAUUAACAUAAUUGUCCAUGUCAUAAGCUAUGUUAUCAAUUUUAGUAGCCCAUAUUAUUUUUUGAGAAAGUGAUUGUAGUGAUGACAUGUGACAAAUCAUUUUUCAAAUAAUGUAUACCAGGUCUUUUCUUGUACUAUGUACAGUAAUAAUUUCUUAAAAAAUUAAAUUAUAAUUAAAAAAAUUAAAUUUUAUUAAUAUUGCAGAUUUUCUUAUUUUUAUAAAUAUUUUAAUAUAAAUUUGUUUUAAUUAAACAAAAAUUCAGAUAAAAAUAUUUUGUUUAUUUUAAAUUAUUAAGAAUUUAUAUGUAUAUAUUUAAAAUUAUAAUCUAAGAUAAAUUUUUGCCUAUUUUUUGGUUAAUAUAUAUUAAAUAAACUUGUUUAAAAUUAAUACAAAUUUCAUAUAAAAAUUGAAUAUUAACAAAAACUAAAAUAAACAGUAUUUAUAAAAAGAAUUAGAUAUAUAACAGAAAAUAAUGAUUUACGAUUAAAAUUUAUAUUUUUUAAAAAAUUGUAAUUUUUUGAAAAUUUAGUAAUAAAAAUUUAUAACUAUAAAAAUUGAAUUAAAUAAUAUUUCAACAUUUUUAAUGUCAUAUUUGAACAUAUUAUUUUAAUGAUGAUAUAUGAGUUAUUAUCAUAUUCUAAUAAGUUUACCAAAAAUAUAAAUCAACAUUAAAAAUGCAAUGCAUGACUUAUUACCAUAUUCUAAAAAUUUACCAAAAUAUAAAUCAACAUUAAAUGUAAUUGUCCAUUUUAUAUUUAGUCAUAAGUCAUGUCAUCAAUUUUAGUAGCCAAUUUUGUGUGAAAAUGAUUGUAAAAAACACAUGUAGCAAAUCAAUUCUCAAAUGAUGUCUAAAAAAAUGAUUAUAUUGAUAUGUCUAUAAAUUUAAAAAUACAUUAUAGAGUGGCGAUUCUUUUAUGUGGUCAUCACUGACGCGGAAUAAGAAAAAAAUAGAGGAACCAACCUUAAAAAAUAUUAUUAUAUAUUUUUUAACUAAAAAAUAUUAUUAUUAUUAUUAUUAUUAUUAUUGUUAUUUUUAUAAUAAUAUUAUGUUUUUCUUUGAUAUUUAUGAAGUGGAAUAUUUUUUAAUGCUGGAUAAUUAUUUUAUUACAAACUGUGAGAAACAUCAAAGACGAUUUUACAGUCAACGAUUUUUUUCUACCCGACUUAUGAGGAUUCACUCCUUACUACAUCACCAAGUCAUCCAAUGAGAUCCAAGUUUGACGGUACUCCUUGCGGCAUGAUGCAGAUCUCUUGUAAAUUUUUUUCUUUAUUAAUUCGCAUAGUUCCACGUUUUCUGGUGCUCAAAACCUAAACAAAUAUAAGUAUUAAUGAAUUUUUAGUCAAAAACAGAUUAAGAAUUGAAUAACUUAUUAAUUAUUUAAUUUCUCACUAGUGUUGCAUGGAUAUUACCAUUAAUAUGUAGUUUUUAAUGGACCAUUAAUUGGUAGUUCUCAUGUUUAAUUUCAUUGAUGAAGACUAAUAAAAAGUUACUUAUUAAAAAAAGACUAAUAAAAAUUAAUGGCGUCGGAAUGCAAUUGAAAUACCCAUAUGACCAAGGUUUUUUCCCCACUGCCUUAUGGUUUAUUUAAAGUAAGUAUAGUUUCAUAUGCAUUAAUGUAUAAACUUUUGAUAUAAAUUUUAAUAUGAGUGGUGCCUUUCAUGCAGUAAUAUGAUAGAUUGGGUAUCCGGUUAAAGAAUUAAUGUCAAAGAAUAUAUAAUAUUGCAGAUAAACAAAUAAAUGCUGAAUCUGUACAUGUUUGAUUUUUUUUUUGGAUCAUAUGGCCUUCCUUCAUGUUUAUCUUUAGGCACAUUCAUUACAUGAAACAAAAACUUAGGUGAUAAUUUAUUCAGUGACAAGGGACCAUCGCAACCACACAAAAAAAUAUGUCCUUUUCUUUUUUCAAUUAAUAAAAUACCUUUGCAAAAAUAAAUUCAUCUGUAAGAUCUCUCUCACACACUAUAUAUAAUACCUUUGUCUUUGAAAGCCCGUAAUUCUUACAUUUAUACUGUUUUUCCAUUGAUAAUUUUUAUAUGCAUAAUCUAUAUUUGACUGUUCAAUAUUAACAUUAGCACAAUUCUUCAAUACAGUUUGAGACAAUUGUGUAUGUAACGUUAACUUUAUCACAAUUCUUCUAUACAGUUUGAGACAUUUGUGUAUGUAUUUAUGGACCAAUGUCGAAUCAUACAGAAUAAAAUAUCAGCAAUUCAUCAGCAAACGAAGAUUUAUCCAAAAAUGAUCCAAUACUUUAAGAAAUAAUUGGUCCCAUCAUGGCUUUUGCACACUUGCUUAUUUCCCUUUCUAUCGAGUUGGGACAUGUCUGGCAAUCUAUAGAUUAUUCUUAUAUCUAAUCGAACUUGUUUGUACGCGGUAAGCAAAUGAACUUGUUUGUACUUGUUGAAUACACAAAUAAUAAAAAGAGAGUAGUUUCUUUUAUGUUCUUUUGGUCAUCAAUACAUGUGGGCUCAGCUUUGGUGCAAUGCAAUAACAUUGAAUGUAUCCGUAGAAAGAAGAAAAAGAAAAGUUUUGCUUCGAUCAUCGACCAAAGAUGCACCUCCCGAAAUUCCCGACCGGGCAUGUAACACAAUUGAUUCAUCUAUUUAAUUUCUCUAAAAGUAUUGCCUAUUAUAUUACAUUAUGACAUAUAUUAUUAUUUUUUUCAAAUCAUUUUUACAUAUUUUAUUAUUAUUAUUCGGUCGUUAUUUUUAUUUAUGAAUAAUAUAUAUAUAUAUGAAUUUUUGCUAGUAUCCCUGACUCCCAGCGCGGCACAUGCACUAUAUAAUAUAUGAAAAUACACACUUAUCUCGAACACUAACACACAUCGCAUAGGUUGCUAAAAAAAACACACACACACAUCACAUAUAAGAACAAAAAGGUUUGCCGUUAUAAUCUGCAGACUGCAGCGAACCUAGACAUAUAACUUUUAUUUUGUCUAGACACAUACGUAUUAAACUAUUAAUUAUGGGUUCUCGUAUUAUUAUACACAAGCCAAGGUAUUUUUCUAAUUCUAUAUGCGGGUAAGGCGGUUUUCUGAAUCUUGAUACUGUGAAAACAAUGCAAAUCUCAAAUGUUUAUAGUACGAUAAGUUAUUAAAAGAUUUCAUUUUACUAACUGUGAAAAAAUGGUAACACUUGAAUCUCCCACGUUUACCGUUUGUUAUACUGUGAGCAAAGAAUUUGAUUGGGUUAGUUCUCUUUGAAGGUUUUAAGUAGUUUGAUACUUCUUUUUUUUGAACACCAAGUAGUUUAAUACUUUAAAUCUAUGACAGGUCUACACAAUUUAAUUUGUCGGACAAUUGUGACAAAAUGUACGUUAUUAUCGAGUUUCCAAAAUAAAUGUGGUCAUCAUAAUUCUACAUAAACAUAGACAAAUUGAUUUAUUAUAUCAUAAUUCUACAUAAAUAUAGACAAAUUGAUUUAUUAUAUCCGAACGUAUACUUAACAUCUAAGACCAUCAUUAUCGCUAAAAACUGUUUACGGUUUUUUAGGCAAUUUUGUUUUUUUAUAUUAAAAAGCGAAUCAAUCGCGGACCGUCACAUGUCGGUAGGGCCCGCGAACAGUGCAAAAAACUUUCCACAAUCGUUUCUUAAUUUAUGACUUUUGAGAUCGAGUUUUAUCAAGAAAAGUGGAUUCACCACCUAAGAAAUCUACUAAAAACUCCCGUUAAUUAUGUCCUAACAACUCACUUCAACAUAUAUAUAAUAAAAGAAAUCAAUAUACUAAUAAGAUUGCAUUCGUUUUGUUAGUAUAAUGUCUUAGGUAGACGAUAAACUUGUACCACAGAGUCUUGUACUAUUGAUCAAUUAGGGUAACCGAUUCCCUGGAAAAGAAGGAUUACACAUUUUCUAAUGACGUUGUCAAUCCUCUGUCCACAAAUAGAUACAUAAUGUGAACGCUACAGAUGAGACUCAAAUGAUAGUUAAUGAUACUUUCUGGAUUUGGAAGUUGGAGAUCUAUAUGAUAUGUUGUUUAUUUAGUUAACUAGGUGGAGACCUGCGCAAAAUUAAAAAAAAAACUUAAACGAAACUCAUAUUAUCUACAAAAAAUAGUUCAUUAUCAUUAGUUUUAUCAAUAAACGAAACCUGCACUCACACCUGUAUUUAUAAUCUCAUCUAGUGUUAUUAGGUUGGUAUUCUUGCAGUACAAAUAAGCUAAUAUACAGUGUGAGUGACUAAGAGUUUAUAUAUCACCUUAAUUAGACUAUGGAUAUUUUGUAAAUCAGUUCUCCAUAUGAUUUUUCAUCCUAAAUUCACGUAUCCUUUGAAACAUGAUAACUAUUAUAUUAUUAUUACCAAAUAUGGGUAAAACUAUAUAAACAAUCAAAUUUUGACCAACAAUUAAGGUCUUGUAUAAUCUUAUAGAUCUAAAUGAAAGUAAUGUAUCAUUUCUAUUUUGGAAUGUUACUAACAUCCCAAUUACUAAUAAUUGUAAUUUAUUAGAAAUUUCCAUAUCUAAGAAUGAUUGUAAUUUGUCCUUCCAAAUCAUGUUUGUAAUGUACACUCUCGCUAAUGGAUAUUGAUUACGGUCAAGUAAAUAAGAUGAACCGUAGGCAUUUUGAAUUUUUUUCAUGUAAAGUAUUCAAAUUGAUCAUGUAAAUCUGUCAAUUUACAUGACAUUUUCAUACAAUCAUGUGGGUCUCCUCAUACGCACUUCAUUUGAUCUCUUAAACUUAAUCUAUAUAAUCAUUUCAUAUACUGCACAUAAUUUUUUCUAAAUGAAGUUUAUGAAUAAAUACGUUAUAGUAACACUAAAAAUAUUGUUUUUUAGAAAUAUUAAUAUGGAUUAUAAUAGUAUAUAAGAUACAAAUAAUGGAUGAAACAUGUUUUGUUAUUCAUAUAUAUCGUAUUGUUAAAUAUCAAGCAUAUGACUAUAAACAAAAAUGAAUUAUGCGUAUAGUUAUAGUCUUUUUAUGAAAAUAAAUUAUUCAUAUAGUUAUUGUUAAUAAUUGGUAUGACUAAUGGUAUUUCUUGUAAUUAGUCUAGUGAUUGAUGGUUUGAUAGUUAAGUACCUUACAAUCUAUGGUGGUGACACCUAAGUAAAAUGACAUGUUUGUAAAUAACUUACAAAUUAAAGGUUAGAUUUUAAAGUGACAUGUUUGUAAAUAACUUACAAAUUCUUUAUUAAUAAGUAAGGGAUACAGCUCAUACAACUCAACUAUACCGACAUUGAAGUGUUUCCUUUUUUUUUUUUUUGUCAACUUUGAGUUUUCAUUAACGUGCCGUAAGGCAUUGUUUUACAAGAUGGCAUCAAGUUUUUACAAGUUAAAAGCCUAAACAGAGAAAUAAUAGUAAAAUACAGCCCAUUUAAAAAGGAAACUCGAGAAGCUUCAAACUCUCCACGUGCUCUUUUCCUUUGCAAGGUGGAAGACUUCUUGGACACGUGUCUGACACGGAUUUAACGCCUGACACAGUCACCGCUUCAGAGCUCCACUGCCGGAAAUCUCUCUACACUGCAACUCGUAUUCCUGCUCCCGCCGGAGUUUCUCUCUAAAAUAUGAACAGAGCAAAUAAGGCAAUCAUGGCCUUUGCUCCAUCCAAGCAUCACAAAACUGCUGGAGAUUUAGCUGGGGACCUUCUCUGUCUCAUAUCUUCAUUAAAACUCUGAUGCCACAAAACCUUUCGCUCAAACCUCAACUACUUGACUGAAAAUUCUUUAUUCUUCGUUGAUUUAAUCAGGAGAGACUACAAUCCGAUGAAGAUAGAUUUUUUGUUGGACUGUUAUCAAAACACCAACUCUGCUAAAUCUUCUUCAAAAGGACCAAAGAAACCCAAUAAAACUCAAUCAUCCCUUGACAAAGAAGCUUUACCUUGAACGCCUAUUUAUGGCUACUGACUCUUAUAAAAGGAUGUUCAGUUGAAACAAAGAACAAAGCAUCCAAUCAAAUAAUUGAUGGAAUUAAACACGAAGAAACUGCGAAAGGAAAGAACUUUCAAGAACUUUAUUCAUCUUCAACCUUAUCGGAGAAGAUAGGAAUGACAAACACUCCGAUUUGGAUGAAGCUACACAACAAAAUCGCCUAUGCGAACAAAGAGUCGCCUACGCGAAAACGAGAGUCGCCUACGCGAAAACGAGAGUAUAAUACAACCCAACGAAAACAAAAAAAAACAAAAGGUUAGGCGACCGGUGGCGGAAGGCCACCGGCCACCGGAACAAAGAUCUUAAAUCUGUAACUUUUUAGAAAGAGAUCGGAGAAAACAAGAGAGAGAAGUUUUCGAAUCUAAUGUUUGAAGUGUUUCCUUACAUUAUGAUUUUUAGACCAGUCUACAAAUAUUUAAAUGAAUCUUGCAUAAAUCCAUAAAUGAUAUAUACGUAAAGUAAAGAGAGAGUUACAUGAUGGGUUACUUUGUCAUGGACCUUUAACAUAUUUAGGUACUUUACACUUGAGGUGUACUAUUUGACUUACUUUUGAUUUUUCACUUCCAUAAAUACCCUUCUCGUGAACGAAUUUUUACUAAAUGUUACGUUUACUUUUCAACCAAAUCUCACAGUCUGUUCAAGUUUAAAGUAUGAAAGCGACCAUACUUGCAUUAUUCCUCUGCUUGCAAUAAAUUAUUAGGUUUAUUAAUAAAUAUGAGAUAUGUUGUGAACCAUCAGAUUAAGUUAUUUUAAAACGAAUCGGAUGGUUGGUGUUACAUCAAGUAGAAACCUACUAUCUAAAAGUGAUAACUUAGAUGAAGUAAUUGCUGGCUUUCUUUCUCGUUGGGAAAGAACACAAUAUCUGUUCAGUGAAGGUGUGGUAAGGAUUCGAAACCUAGAUUCAACAUAAACUGGUAUCUCUAAGUAAUUGUGCUAUUGGUCUAUGACUAUUCCUUGCUCGGUGUGCAGGUCCGCAUGGUCAAGAGAUGGAAAGUGUGGUUGGGCGAGUUGUGGUCAGCGGACAUGUUUGCAGCGGAGGCCUGGCCAGGAGAGUUGUGUUGUGUAGAAGUGUGGUUGGGUGAAGUGUGGGUGGGAGAAUCGUGGUCGGGUGAAAAAUGUAUCGGGUAUGCGGAGGGCUGACACACUGGGUUGUAUGCAGUGAUCGGAUGAUCGCUGGUGAUGAUUUCGUCUGGGUGGUCAAGCAAGAUGUGGUCGGUGGUUAGUAGGCUAGACCGAGGGUUGUUUGAAAACUGCUCAGCGUUGAACUAGCUGCUAAGUGGAGAAGUAGGUUCGAUAUCCUGAAUUGAGUUCUUGAUGUGGUCAGGGUUUUCUGGGUGAGUAGAAGUGGUAUCCUGCAAACAAUACAUCGUAUCUUGACGAAAACUUUCUCCGCUUUCUGCAUAACCAUAGAAGGAGAUCUAGUUGUCAACAAUAGCCAUAAUCAUGGGAUGAGGAAAUUAAAAUCAAGUAAGAGAGGUCAUACUCUUCAUUAUGAUUUAUAUAAUCAACGAUUAACACCGGUGAAACAUUGACAGGAGAUUGUGUUUUCGUCGAGAAGGAGGAGGUGGCUGCCUUCGCAAUUCCGCUAGAACAAUAAAAUGAAGGGGGUCUAGGUCAGAGAAUGAGAUGUUGGGUCACGAUAAAAGAAAAAUAAAGAGAAAGAAAAGGUAACUAAAUAAUUUUUAGUUUCGGGGGUAAAUAAGACAAUAGCACAUAAGAAAGUAUAUCACAUGGAGAAAGUAUGUUAGAAUGUUACGGAGAAAAGAUAAAGUAUGCUAGAGCGUAAAUUUUUCUAAAGUAAAUCUCUGACUUAUAUGAUUUGAAAAAUAAACAAUAAUAUUCAUCGACUAGACAACUAGUAGCAACUUUACAAACUCAAUAAUCAAUCAAUCCAUAACUUAGAAGACAAAAAAAAAGAGAGAACAAUCUUUGUUCUUCCGCUAGAAUAAUGUCACAUUCUACAUCAAUGGUUCAGACACAAACUCGUAACUGACUAGAUUAAGUUGGUUCGUACAAGUCCACGUAUCCUCCUCAUGCUUCACCGUGUUUCCGGUAUGGCCUCGUAUCGAUACCUGUCGCAGUCUUGACCACGACAUGCUGCAUGUAGAGACCCACUCAAAAGUGAUUGAAUUAAAAAAAUCCAAAAGAAACAAAACUCAUACAAUAGCAUUAAUUGUUAAAAAAGCAUUAAUUGUUUUAAGAAUUUUACUUUAAUCUGUGUAAUGUAUCCCUUAUAUACUAAAACACAAGUCAGUUCACCACUAAAAUUCUGACACAUGGCAUUGGUUAACAAAAAUUAGUCGAUUAAAUUCUUUUAUUUCAUUCCCUAUUUUUCUGCAACUCUAACUACUUAAAUUUCAAUUCUUUCGGGAUUUUCAUCCCACGUUUCAAUUUUCUUCUUCAUUAUCAAACUGUUUUUUUUCUCUGUAUAAACAACAAUCUCUGAUGUCGAAAAAUAAAUAUAGCAAUCGGCUAAGUUAUUCUCAAACUCCACCAGAUUGCUCUUCCUUUUUCUUUAUGUUCUCAUAGGUUCACAUAUGGUGGCUCUGCAACUUUUUAGACGACCAAAAUAGACAAGAACUUCUCAAUCUUCUUAUUGAUAUUCCUUUUUGUCUAUAUUCUCACGGUUUUUCUGCUUAUCUUUUCUGAAAUAAUCUUUUUAGAAAUGAUUGAAUUACUACUGUACUUUUCCAUUGCUUCUAACAUCUUUUUGUGACAGUUGUUACAUUCUCACGAUGAUUUUUGAAAUCUUUUAAUUAACAGGAACGCUAGUUUCUCACCAUUUAUCAGUAAUGAAAGUGACAAAUUAUUUUUCUACUUCUUUUAUCUAUAAACUGAUUUUCAUAUCUGCUUUGUGACUUAUCUUUAGGAAUUUUUUUUUAUCCAUUUGCUACCAAAGCAGAAAACGUAUUUGAAAGCAAUUGACAAGAAAUUGUUAUUAUGCUUGCUUCUUAAAGGAUUUCAAGAAUCAUCAACAAAAUUUGAAGCUAGAGAAGACAUUGCUAACAAAUAAGAAAAUGUAAAGAAAGAAUUCAGUAAGCAUCUUGAAUAUUAUUGAGCAAUUUACGUCAAAACAUGAGGAAAUUGUAUAUGAGUGAUGAUUUUGAUAAUGUUUGGGAGAAAGAAGCAGAUAAAAAUUUCAAAACUUUUGGAUUGGAUGAAAAUUAACAGCCACAACAAAAAAUGGUAAUGAGAAAAAUAUAGAGUACUUGGAAACACUAGAAGUAAAAUUAUCUGAUUUUAUCCCCCUAUAUAUAAAUUAUUGCAAUUACUAAUAUAAUUUAAAUAAGAUAAAGUAUAAAGAGAUCACACAUUUUUUAAAUUUAAAAUACAAAUUUGUUUCGUGCUUUAGCACGGGAGUAACACUAGUAACUUUAUAAGUGACGUUGACAUUCUCGUCACCGGCUUGUAUAACCGCCGGGAACAAAAACUCCGUUCCUGGAUAUGCUUCUUAGAUGGGCCUUAAUCUAAGCACAAUAGUAUCUGUUUCCCAAAAUAAUGGGCCCAUUAAAACAAUUCCAACGAACUGUCGACAAACUGGUGGGUGGGAAUGCAACGGUCGAACACAAAGACAGAGCAAGCCUGUCCUCUCUUCCUCCUUGAUUAAAAAAAAAAAACCAAAAUAAAGAUCAAAGAUUCGUCGUCUGCAAACACACACAAGAACCCUGAUUGGUCCCUCAAAUAGUCUUCAAGAAGAUUAAAAAGUCCAUUGAAGACUCAUUGACGGCGACGAUGAUUCCACACUAUUCUUGGUUCGGAGCGAUGAAAGUAUAUCAACUGGUAAAUCUGGCAAGCAUAAGGGUCUCUCAAGCAGAGCUUCGUCAAAGACUUAUGCAGCUUCCCAAAUACCUCCGAGUCGCAAUCCGCCACUGCAUUCUCCGUAAAGACGCUUCCUUAAGCUCUGACGGAACGUUGAUGCAGUUAGAAUAUUUUGAUUGAAUGCCUUCUGAUGAAAUUGAGGACCACACAAGAAUGUCCCAUUGACCAGGUGUGAUUUUUGUGUUUAUCAGUCUUUGGAUUAUGGAGGGAGAGCUGCCUCCAUCCACAAAUGGCUAUGAAGGAGUUUUCUACAUUUACUUAGUAUAGGUAUGGAUGCUCAAGUGGUUUACGGGUUUCACAAUUUGCGCAAUGAAAAGCCAUACCUUGCGAAUGGCCGGCCCUAUCGCCAAUAAAAUUAUAUAUUCUGGCUACGGUUGGUCUCAGGGCUAGUUCAUGGUGCAUUGCACAAACGACCCUGGUUCAAGGUCUUUAUAAACACCAACAAAACAUAUGUUACAACCAUAAAAUGUGAUAUAAACCGAUUUGUAUUUUUGGGGGUUUAGGGGUCUCAAGAACAUAAUGACAUUGCAUAUUAAAACCCUAGACUUAUCUGAGUGGGAGAAGGUACCGGUUCCCAAAAGACAUCUACAGCAUAGAAACAAUAACACACAUGAGAUACAUUCUUAACUUGGGAUUCUAAUUAUACAUGUUUUUUUUGGUAAAAUGUUAAAUUUUAUACCAAGUUUUAAGUUUUUGACAGCGAUUACAAUGAUUAACAAGUAGCGGAAUGCCAAAAUUAAACUACACAACACAACAAAAACGACUUUGACAAGAAACCGAAAUGGGAAAGCUAUACUAACAACCAGCUAAGCAGCAGAUCGGGCAAAGACCAAAGCGAGCUGGAAAAGUCGAAGAAGAGGAGAUGGUUGCCGCGAGCUACCGAGAGAUAGGCGCCCUCAAACAUAGAAGUUAUGUGUCCUGUAGCUUCUGUAACCCGACCCAACAUAAACUGGCUCAAAGAAUCGAAGCACGAACCUUACCAAUAACACUAGACAGAUGCACCCCCGACGGCACGAGAAUAAGUCUCCACGAUGCCGUCGUUUGAAAGGCAGAUCUGGAGAAUGCCAUCUCCAAUCCGACCUCUCGUGACGUCUACACCCAUUGAACCGAACCCACAUAUAGAAGGAGCAGACCGCACAAAACUCACCUUCCGGGAAUACGCCUACAAGAGAAGUGGCAUACCGAGUGAUCUACUGCCGCACGGAGACUAAACACAGCAGCCACCACAUAGAAAAACAAGACAAAGCCGCACACUAAGUGGGAUGAGAGAGCAAUGCGCAAGGCCAUACCGCCAAAAACUCCAAGGAGGGGGCAAGGAAAUACCACUGGAACACUGGAAUUGCUCCCGAAAGAGAGAAAAAUAAGCGCCUCCGGCAGCACGCGCCACCGUUUACAUCAUGCGCUGCCACCAUGAGCCACCGUUUAUACCAUGCGCUGCCAACACGCGCCGCCACCGACACUAUGCGCCGCCACUGGGAGAGCCGGGAAAUCGAGACACAACCCGACAACCGACGAACCCACGCGCCUCCUCUAGAGACCACCAGAAGAGCUUCAAGAGAUAAAUCUUUAACUCGCAAAAUCUCAGAUCUAAACCAAGCCGCCGAUGCGCACACCACCGACUCGAGACGAUGCCGGAAAGCUACACAGAGACCAGCCAAGCUUCUUGGCGUUACACGCAACUCCACUCUCACAGAAGAUUGGCCAAACUCCGGGAAAAAGAACCCUAAAGCAAACCGUUUCCGAAGACCAGGGAGCGCAACCACCGUCCUCAAGCAUCACCACCACCCUUGGGGUAGUGUAAGAGCUGUUCUACAUAGUUAUGGAAGCGGAAGAAACCCUUGGGGCGAAUUCUCAAAUAAGAUUGUCUUGAAAAGGUAAAACAAACACAUUUCUUAUUCAUAAACCAGCGAUGGGCUUCUUGAGGUUUUUGGUUGAAACAAGGAUGGCAUGCUUCUUUCGUUAUGGUUAACCUCAUCUCUGCCAAACACAUUGCACAUCUGCUUCUUUUUGUAGACCAAACCCGGUUUAUCAGAACCGGAAGAAAUUUAAGGUUAAGAAAUAUAUGGCCAAGACCAACACGUGCACGGUUCCCAACAUAUAUGUGAUACCAAUCCUGCCAUAACCGAGACAGAUUGGAUCAAUCAAACAUGCUAUUUUUUAUUUGUAGUUAACAGUUAAUACUUAAUAGUAGUAGGACAGUUGACUUGGCUCUCACAUCUGAAGUCUAGACUUCAAGUCUAAAAAUAUUAGCCUAUAUUGAACUAGCCCUUAUGAUAAGGGAUUUAUCGAACCUGCCUACACCAGACGGUCCAUAUAUACCGACCUCAUAGCCAUCAUAACUAGGGAUAGACCAUAUCUCAAUCUGCGUUUUGAUUUUAUACUCAAAUAUAUGAUUUUACUUUUCAUAUAGGUUAGGUAUGCAUUUUUAACUAAGGCUAAGCAUUUUUAACUAAGGCUAAGUCUUAAAACUUGUAUAUAAACGGAAUUGAACAAGACCGAAAAAAAAUAUUUUUAAUAGUUUGGAAGAAAUUUAUGAAAGUUAAAUGUUACUUGUAAAUUAAUACUACUUUUAAUAGUAGAAUAUUUUAGAAAUCAUACAAAAAUGUCUCAUACUAAGAGCAUCUCCAAUGGUGCUUCAUUUUCCAUUUUUUGCUUCAUUUUUUACUCCAUUGGUACUUCAUUUUUUUUUUCAUUUUUUUCAAAUUUUGAAGAAUUGAACAGUACUUCUUUAAACUAAUCCUUAACUUGAUUUAUUGUUAUUUUUUACUUAAACAAAUUAAAAGUGUUAAUGUCAUCCAAUUAAUUUUAAAUUCUACAUCAUUACUUUUAUCUAACUGAAUGUUAAUAACGAAGAAAAUGAAAUUUUUGGUUUCUAAGAAUUUUAUGUUCGAUUUAGAAUAAUUUAGAAUAAAAUAAGUUCAUUUUUGUUUUAAAAUAUAUUUUUAAUCACUUAAGAGAUAUAUGUAUUCAGUGCUUUUUAUAAAAUAUUUUAUUUAUUUAUUUAUGUUAAGUGUAAUAAUUGUAUUAUAUAAUGAUUAUUAAUUUAUAAUAAAUAGUAAUUGGAUCGAAUUAACGUUAAAACAAAACAGAUGGGUAAAAUUAGUAAAUUUGGAAAAGUAUAAAGUGUUACUAAUAAUUAAUUAUAAAGUUGUGGUAGAAUAUACUUAGAAUAUUCCAUUUUGAAGAAAAAUAUGAAGCAAACCAUUGGAGAGCAUGCUGCUUUGUUUUUUGAAAAAUUUCAAAUUUUGAAAAAAAAAAGUUAACCAUUAGAGAUGCUCUAAAAAUGACUUCAAACUUUUAUCAUGUCUUUCACUUUUUUCCCAUUUCACCCCGUUCUUCAAACAACAGUGAAAUGGGGAAUUUUUUUGCAAAGCACUAAAUCAUUUGUCCCUUUACAUGAAAUCAUGUUUCGAAUUUCCCCCAUUUGUCCAUCUAUUAUCAUAACAUCUAUAUAUAUAUAUAUAUAUACUAUUAAAGCAGAAUCCUUCUUCGGAUUAUGCCUCUCACUUUUUCAAUUAAUUACAAAAUUUUCCAUUACUUUUUUCAAUUGGUUUUAAUGGUUUUCGGAAAUUAAAAAACCAACAAAUUAGAAAGAAGUUAUGUUUCUGCCCAACUAAACAAAACAAUCCAAUAAUUUAAACAAUUUAUCCAUCGUGUUUAAGUCCAUUUCAUGUAUUUUUAAGCCAAUGUAUCCAUCGUUUUUAAUUGCUGCAUACAAUAAAUUCAAAAGAUAAUAUAUAGAAACAAGAUUUUCUGAUUUAACUAAAUUAACUUGAUGAACAUGCAGAAAAUAUAUUUUGUUUGACAUGGUAACUGAAUUAUCCGAAUAUUAAUCUCAAAAGAUAGAGAUAUUCGAUAAUAAAGAGAAGAUCCUCCAACUUUCUCCUCAACUUUCUCCUAAAACCUAAGCAUUCUCUUUUGUCGGUUUUAGGAUACUUAAACAUGUUUUGGGUUGAUUUAUAGAAAACAGAUAAUAUAUAGAAACAAGAUUUUCUGAUUUAACUAAAUUAACUUGAUGAACAUGAAGAGAAUAUAUUAUGUUUGACAUGGUAACUGAAUUAUCUGAAUGCUAAUCUUAAAAGAUAGAGAUAUUCGAUAAUAAAGAGAAGAUCCUCCAACUUUCUCCUAAAACCUAAGCAUUCUCUUUUGUCGGUUUUAGGAUACUUAAACAUGUUUUGGGUUGAUUUAUAGAAAACAAAAGUUGGUCGUUGAUUUGUAAGUCCAACUUACCAGUUUCAUGUAAUUAUUGAUCCUAUAGGCUUUAAACCUCAGUUUUUACUUUUUUUUAUAUUCGUUAACAUAAACAUGGAUAAUUUUUGUUCUUAUUAAAAAUGGUUAUUUUAUGAAUUAAUUUUAAAAUGGUUCUUAUUUUGUAUUAUAAAUGUUAAUUUCAAAAUAAACAAUCUUGAUAGUUUUCAGGAAGUUAUUAUAUAUUGUAAGAGUUUAAAUAUAAUUUAUUUUCAUUAUUAAAAUCAACUUCAAUAUAAAUAGAUUUAUAAAAGAUAAGAAAUAUUACUAUGUAAGAUACUGAUUUCUCAGUACAACGAAACCACAAGAAUAUUAUAUGUUAAUAUUUAAAUUUAGCCGAUUUUUUUCUAAAAAUACAAAAAAUGUGAUUUUUAACUGUAUUAUCCAAAAACAGGUACCGUAUCAGCACCAAAUUAAACUCGAAACUUUAUCGAGUUUUUAAUAUUUUAUCACAAUCAAACUGAGAGCUAAACUAAUUAAUCCGAAACCAAAUCUAAAUUUACAAAUAAUCGAACGGCCCCUAUAUUUUUUAAUUCGUAAAAAACAAAAUCACAACCGAAACCGAAAACCAUAAAAAAUAACAAAUUACAGUCGAACUGAAAGUUGAAAGCACGUGCCUAAAAAUAUUAGUGAACAAAUAGAUGGAUUAAUAGAUUUUUUAACGAAGAAUAUUCUGUGCGGAUCAAAAUCUAAUUUCUAACUAUAUAUAUAUAUAUAUAUAUAAUAUUUAUAUACACGCAAAAUGCGGUAGCUAAAAAGAACAAGAACGAGGUGCGAUUAUACCAGCACUAAUGCACCAUAUUCCAUCAGAACUCUGUAGUUAAAGCGUUUUUGAACGAAAGUAGUAAUAAGAUGGAUGACCGCUCGGAAAUUUCUCGUGUUGUAUCCUUUUUUAUUUCAGUUGCUAAGAAAAACACAAGAACGUGUUUAUUACUGACAGGCCGGCGGCGAUACGGCUAGAUAUAAGAGGAGUAGAAUGGAGAGAUGCGUUUAUGCAAAUACAUCAAGAGCGUCCCUCACCGGUCUGUGGUCGCAAAGGAUAUUUGAUUAAUUGGCCUAUAAUCUCUUCUAAUCAUAUUAUGUCAAGAUUGUAGUUGUGGAUAACCACUUUCACUUCCACACGAAGAACAUAUGAAAAAGUAUAUACUUAUUUACGGUAUAUUUAAAGACGACCAAACUGGCAAGGUUGGUUUCAGACAGGAAGCAACUAAGAUUUUGGAGUGGAGGAUGAGUAGACGGACACUCGUUGAAGAACAUAUAUAAUUGGAGUGGACCAAUAUGACUUGUAACUUUCAUAAAGUACUAAUUGCCAUUUGUAUGUACGAACCACUUGCAAUUUUCAGUAGUGUCUUUUAGUACCAAAUCCACUAUAUAUAAGGGGUAAACUGCCUCUAAACCAAUUAAACAAUAACAAAUUCAUUUAUAUACAAAUGAAAUGUAAUGAAUAAAAAAAGAUACUUACACCAAACUAAUAUAGGGCAAGAAAAUACAUUUCCACUACAAAAGAAACUACAAUAAAAACAAAUUUGAUAACUUAUAUAACUGUCAAAAGACUUUUAGAAACCAAUAUAAGAUUGUAUGAGUCCUGUUUUGAUGCUUCAUAUUACCACGUUGUUUUUCAACAGUGUACUUUCAUAUUAAAUGCACAAAUAAUAUAAAAUAUGAGUCUAUGAUCGGUUCGUCGCCACAACUUAACUAAAGCCAUGUACAUCAGUGAACCCCAUGGAAGGGGUUCACAAAGUAUUUUUUUAUUAUUCUUUUUUUCUGUUUGAAUUUUGUUAAAAAAAAAAUAAAAAAUUAAUCGGACCAAUCGCGGAUCGCCACACGCCGUGGGACCCGCAUUACAGUGUUGACCCGGGUUCAGUGCAGUGAACUUGCAAGAGACAUGUUCACCUCUUUUACUUAUUUUAAUAUUUUUUUUUUCGAAAACCGUGUGAACUCCCCCAUUGAACUCUCAAUAGGGAUGCCCUAAGGACCCGUAAGUUUGAAAAAGUAAGCAUGAAGACAAAAUAUAAAAAGAAGUGAAAUUGCAUCCCAUAUACGUAAUUUUUCCCUUAAUUAACUAAAUACCCUAAAUCCCACAACAUCAUACCUUAGUUGUUAGAGACACAACUUGUCACAUCAUGUGUAUUCACCUAAUUUCUAACUUCUUUGUGGUUAUUUAGCUAAUUGACUCUAAAAAGAAACUACAAACGAAGAUAGGGCCUGCUCAACGUAUUGGUGGCCCCUAGGACAAAUUGUUUUAGUCCUUAAAACAAUUUAACGGCAAAACGAAAAAAAUUAAUAAGUUAUAAUACACUUUUUACGAAAUUUUACCUUAUAAAUUUUAUAAGUAGUAUUUUAUAUAUUUAUAAUUAAAAUAUAAGAGUUUCUGGGGGCUUUUGUUUUGUUAAAAAAAUAUUUUAUAAAAAAAAAUGUAUAUAUAUAUAUAUAUAUAUAUGUGUAUACAUGCCCUUAGUUACUAUUACAUUAGUGAGCAAAUAGAUUAAACCGAGGCGAUCACACCCAUGGUUCCCUCAUUAGAGGCGGCACUGCAUGAAUAAGAGCAUCCACAUUGAUACGUUCUAAGUGAGUUUCUUAUAAUUAAAUUUAAGAUAAAUUUUGUAAAGUAAGAGAAAAACUCAAGAGCAGCUAUUCUUUAAAAUAUUUUCUAAGAAAAUUUGAGAUACCCAAAUUACACUUGUAUUUUAGCCUUUUUUUCUAAAUAAAAAAAUAUUAUUUGAGAGACUCCAAAUCGCAUAAAUUUUUUUGAAAGUGUCACUUACUUAACACUUUAAACUUUGAAACUUUUAACCUUCAAAGUUGACCGGCUGAACAUGUAAAAAAAAAGAUUUAUCAGUUUUGUUUUCAAAAAAAAUUAUUUAAUUAAUAAAUAAACAAUAAAUUAAAAAAUCAGAAAAUUUAUUUAAAUCUCAAAAAAUAAAAAUAAAUCAGUUUUUUUUAAAUUAGAAAAUUAAAUAAAGAUUUAGAAAAUUAAAUAAAAACAAAAAAUUAACUAAAAGUUUAAAAAAUAAAUAAGAUCAAAUUAAAAUACAGAAAAACUAAAAAAUCAUAAAUUUCAAAAAAAAAUUGAAAAUUGAUUCAAAAAAAUUUUUUUUUUGGUCAUUUUCAACGAUAAUGUCGGAAAUUAUUAUUGGAGAUAUGAAAACAAAACCAUCAUUGUUAAUGAUUAUGUAAAAAACCAUCAUCAUCAUUGGUAAUAUCUUUGAAAUUUUUAUUGUCAACAAUGAUAUGUUAUAUUUUUCUAAAAAAUCUUAUAAUUUAAAAAUCUCAUAAAUUUUGCAACAAUUAAACGGUGUACACCAAUGAGAUUUGUUCAUUUGGUACAUGGGUUUACUUUGAUGUCAGAACCGAAUCUUGUGACGUAAUAGUAGGGAGGAAACACCUUCUUGCAUUAUAACCAAAGGCUCCACAUCUUUCACAAGCAUUUGGGAUUCAGGAAUAUUCGACAUCCACCCAACCGAUAUUGUCUUGCUUGUAAUGAAGAGCAAUUAGUUUCAGAAAAGGGUUUAUCUAGCUCAGCUUCAACUAAUAUUUUAGAUUUUUUCAUAUUUGUUGAAUCUAAGAGAGGCUUAUGUGUAAGCAUUGGCUCUCCUAACCCGGAUGUUAUAUGGCUAAUGCAUAAUCUUGAGAACACAUGGAUAUAGGAUGUUCUUAAGAUUAAUCCACAUUGGUAAGGUAGAAAUCUCAUAAAUUUUGAAAGAUUUUAUAGAGCUUUAAGGGGGGCCAAAGGGAGACAAUCAUCAAUAUACCACACUCCCCACUGAAUAACUUAUUUGCGAGUGUUUAUGAGGAAUAUGGAACAAGAAGAAAGAGUCACUUAGCUUAAGACAAUUUUUCUUAUAUUACUGACCCUGUAACUUAUUCAAUAAAAUAUGAAUGAGUCAUCCAGGCGGGAUCGGCAAAAUGUAGUCUUCCUUACUCUUAGAGCCUAGUCUAAGAAUCUUAGAUGGAUUUUUCACCUACGGCGUACCCUCGAGUUACUCUUAGAGCCUAGUUUAAGAAUCUUAGAUGAAAUUUUCACCUACGGCGUACCCUCGAGUCGGUAAUUCCAUUCAGCAGUCCGGAAAUUUUUUCCGUAGCUUGGUUCAUGCGAGCUUCCCACCAAAACCAAAGACCACCUGCUUUGAGAGUCAAAGGUGGAAAUUCUCCACCGGAAGAUGCAGAAUAACUUUCUCAGAAGCAUCAUCUGCUCGUUCUUUUGUUUCUGACCAUUGAAAGUAGCUUCACCAAUUGAAGGCCAAACAAAGCUAUAUAGCUUUUAAGCCUCUGAGAUACUGAACCUUAGAGUUGCAGGGUUCAGGAGGUAUUGUGGAGGCCUGAAAUGGAGAGACUCCGAUCAUGAUCCCAACACACAGACAAGCGAUUUGAUGUAUUGAUAUUUUCAUGGUUUUUGCUUCCUCAUUUCUCAUAUUUUUCCUUCAUUUAGCAUACAUCUAGGUGUAUUUAGUGUCCUUGCAUGUACAUUUUCAUUGUGGAUCCUUUGAAACAGGUACUUAGGUGACUGGAGGCAUUUAAAAAGGAAAACAAACAAAACAGAGAUUUUGGAGUCUGGAAUCUCGUAUCGGCCAUGACUAGCGGCCUAUACACAAGCCAUCAUGAAUGUGGGCUGUAGUGGUGUGCCUAGCGGCCUAUACACAGGCGGCUACAUAAAUACAAAAUGCUCGUAAAAAUUAGGGGGAAUAGUAUCCUACACCUAGCGGCCAAAGCCCAACCUCUAUGGCGACUCAAAAGUGAAGACCAAAUUAGACACGGGGCAUAGCGGCCUAUACACAUGAAACUACAAAAGGAAGCUGUAGCGACCAAUACACAUGCUGCUAUAUUGCAAAUCAGCACUUGGCCAGUUUACUCAUAUUUAUAUGGGUUGAUCCAAAUCUUGUUUUAAGACCUAUAGAAAGCAUUUUAGAGAAAUGAAAACUCGAAGCUACCUAAGCAUAAAUUUAUCUUAGUUUUUUUGAUUUCUUAUGUAUAAAAACUUGGACGUUUGUGAAACUUUAUUGUGUUUAAGGAUUUAUUUUGUUAAUCUUGUUUUUCUCUUUCUAAUCUCUUGAUUAUCCAUUAAUCGAUCAUGAUUUAAGUGGUUUCAUAAAGAUUAGUGAGUAUAACCUUUUUAGCUUUGAGUUUGGUAGAUUAGGGUGUAGUGCUUGUUAUAUGAUGCUAUGUGCUUAGUCUAUACGAUCUUUAAUUGAUUGGUAUAUUUAAAUACGAUCAUAAGUUGUUUCAUAUCCAUGAGAUGUUUGAUGAAAUAGUUGAAUGAACCAAUCAAUGUGUUUUACUUGUUUAGUGAAUGGGAGUUGAUGUUAGAGAUGUUUAGUGGCUAUUAGGACUUGAAAUUCAUGCAUGAGUGAUGGUAAUUAAGCAAUGACCAUUGAUGUUAAAAACUUGAUUUAUCAUAUGAAUUAAUAUCACAAGAGUGAAUUAGCUUAAACUAUUGAUAUUUGGCCUAAAGAUUAACAAUUGUUGAUUAAUUAAGCAUGGUAAAUUAGUAUUUGAUCGUCUUAAUCAAUAACCUUGACCCAAAAUAUUUUUUCUUCUUUCAUUGUCGUCGGUUUGACUUGAAGUGAUUUUAUUGACUUUUCCAUUUUUUAGUUUUGUGUAAAAACAUUUUAUUUAUUUGUUGAGACUAAAGAAGUUUGUGUAUUCUUAAUAUCAAUAUGUCUCUAAUUCUCUGUGAAUUUGAUCAUGAAUUACUAAACUGAAUAUAAAUAAUAUGGUUUUAAGAUCAUAGACUUUGUUACAAGUUAGAUACAAACCAUAUAAUAUAAUAACAUUUGCAGUCGACUGUUAAAAACAUAAAUUGAAAUAUGGUCAACAAACCUUAUGAGUUUCGGUAACUUCGACCCCUCAAAACAUGUUUUUUCCCUUAACUUUUUUCUCUAUAUUGGCCUAUCAAAAUCGUUACAAACUAUGGAAUGAGAAUAUUAAAGGUAUGAAUGGUGAUCAAGGAACGAGGAACAAUGCAUUCCCUAACGUUCUUACAAAAAAUUACCAUUCACAAGGAAUAAUUUUUUCCUCUCUCCCAUUUUUUCCUGCUAUUUUAUUCCUCUACAUUCAUUUUCUAUUGAUUUCUCUUGUUUCCAGAAUGGUUACCUGUCAGACCUUUAAUUAGCUUUGAUGGGACCUAAGCUAUAAAAAAAAAAAGAGAAAGUAAGGUUUCAAUCACAGAAAUUGUCAGCUAACGCUUUCGAUUUCUUUACGCUAACUAAAUCAAAACAAUUUUCGUAUAGAGAAAGUGACAAAAUAUAUUAAUACACUAAAUCCUUUGCCAAAAAGAUAUAUUGAUAAAUUAAAAUGAUUACUAAUUAAAAAGCAAAAAAUAAAAACGAAACAUAAGGCCAUCGGCUUUGCUUUUAUCAUCUUACUACCUAUCUUUAAUUAUUUUCUUUUUUGAAAAAGAUCUUUAAUUAUUUUCUCUUUAAUCUUUUUAUCUUCUUUUUCAUAUUUCAUUUAUUUCAUUUUUAAUUAUCGUUUUAGGUUUAUACACAUAGAUUAAGAAAAUAUUUAAUUUUGUAUAUUUUCAAAACAAAAACAUCAUUUUUUAUAAACCUAAGCAUAUUUCAACUAAUAAAAAUAAAAUAGAAAAUAUUGUUAAUAAAUUUGUCAUUAAAAUUCUUAAACAAUGUUUAUUAAAACAAAAAUUUUACUCUACAAUGAAACUUAAACUGAAACAAAAUGAAUAUUUUUUUCUUUACAAAACGGAAGCUUUAAAAUUAUUCUCAAAUACUAUUUGCUUGUAGCAGCGAUAAUUCUGACUAAAAAAAACACAGUACUUCUGUAUUGUACAUAUAUAUAUAUAUAAAGAUUGGAAAAUGAUACUUUGGAAGUAGUAUUUAGCAAAAAAAUUUGGAAGUAGUGUUAUAAUGAAAAUGAAAAAAUGAAAAAGAUGAAAAAGUAUUAUAAUGAAAAUAGUACUAUAUAUAUAACAUGUGGGGGAGGGGGUGUCAAAAUUAUGUUGUUUCAAAAAGAUUGAAAUCAAAUUAUUAAGACGUGGGACUACCUUUCUUGUAAGAAAAUAUCCAAUUAUUCAUGUCUUCGAUAAUAAUUGUACUUCCAUCUCUCAAAAGAAGAACAUGCUUUUUCAUCUUUUUGUUUUCUAUUAAUAAACCAUAUAGUAUUAUAUUACACAUCUUCCCUUCUUUUUUCCUUGCGAGGAGCUCCCUAUUUUUUGUUAUGUAAUUUCAUUAGUUAACCAAGAACUCUUGGUCUAGUGGUAAUGGAAAUGCCCGUUUUGGGUUUGAGUCGCCUUGGCCACCUUUCCGUCUAUAACUAUGUGUGUCCGGAUGGAAGGCCUCGUGAGAAUUAGUCUGGACUUACCGAUUAGAAUCCUCCAUGAAUAUCAAAAAAAAAAAAAUUCAUUAGUUACAAAUCUCUGCGCCAAAGCAUAUAUCCACCCAAAAAAUAAAAUACCGGAAACCUUCUUUUUAUCCCAAAUAUAUAUUUUUCGUACAAUAAGUAGCUUUAAACUGAUUUAGAAACUUCUAUAUUAUUCAUGCAUAAACACAAUUAAUAAGCGAACACUUAAUAGAGUACAAAUUUGUGACAUUUCUCUAUAUUCCACAAUUAUAAAAUAUUCAGUGUCGUUCCAAUAAUUUUAGUAGCCUAAAACAAAAACAUUUUUAUCUAAAUUAUCAUAAUAUCUUAACGAGAAACAUAUAUUUCAAUAAAAAAAUUGUGUUCAACUCACGAUAACAAAAUGCAAAAAGGGUUACCAAAACAAAUGAUUUUUUUCUGAAAAUGAUGGAAAUUAAGAGAACGGAAUUUAAGAUAGCUAAGAAAUUAAAACGUAUAUAGCCAGCUUAACUAAAAAGAUUUGAGAUGUCGUCCUUAAAAACUAAUAAAAAUUUGUGGUCUAAAUCCUUUGCUCGUUCCUGGUAAUACUAUCGGAGCAAAAAUUAUUUUAUAUUAAAAUUAUUAUAUUUUAAAAUAAAAUUAUAUAGUGACAUCGGAAAUGUUUUUAGUUACCAAAUUCAUGUUAGGGAAGUUCAAAAAAAAAAAGUGCAUGUUAGGGAAUAGAUAAAGACCACGACACCACAUAAUUCUUUAUUGUAUUUAUACUUCUCCAUAGUUAUAUCCAGUUUUAACUAUUGUUAUACUUAAGGAUGCUUAUAAUUAUUGUUAAUGGGAUUUGGAAUAAUACUCCCAUCGGAUCCUAAUCCAUACGUCUUACUUUAUAGAAUUCACUUAUAUAAAAUUGUAAUGAAAAUGAGAGCUAACUUAACUGCAAUAGAUUAAUGAAAGAGUGGGAUUUGGUUGGAAUCUUUGUCAGAACGUUGUUGCUUUAGCUUUUAAUAUAUUAACUAGGUGAUUUAUUCGGUGUUUAUACAUGCAUAUAAAUAUUUACAAAAUAUAUAAUUUAUAAUAGUUAAAUAAUAUUUUAUUUUAUUGUAAAAAGUUUGUAAUUUAUAUGUAUGUAAAAUAAAUAUAAUAUUUUUUAAACAGACAAUGAUUUUGAUCAAUUCAAUUAGUUCUUACGUAUAUGAAAUUACUGAUUUUAAAUAGGAUAAAAUCAGUUAACUUUGUUGUUCUCCUUUAAUUUGGUUCAUUGUGUUGGAUUCAUAAUAUAUUUUUCUAAAAUUAUGUAUAACUUGUUACAUGUUAUUUUGGAAAACAAAGGGGAAAAUGUUAUAAGUGAAUAUAAUUGUAAAUUAUGCAUGGAUAUAAAUAUUUUUGACCAGACUAAAUCAUAAUAGUUUGCUAAUAUAUUUUUUUUUACGUGUUUGUUAGUUUUGAGUCGCUAGUGAAUUUACAUGCACAAAAAAUAAACAAAAAUAUGUAUUCUAAGUAAUAUUAUAUCACUGACUUAAUUAGACCUCUCAUUUUCAGUAUAAAAUCAUGAUUGAUUUAUAUGAGUAUAUUAAGUUGUAUAUAUUCGUCUAAAAUGAACCAUACAAUUUUUUUUCUAAUUAGGUUAAGCAUUGAUUAUUUUUUUGUACAUAAAACAUAGUUUUAAGUUUUGGAUAUAUUAAUUUUGUUUGUAAACCUAUGUUUUAUGUAUGCAUAUAUAUAUAUAUGUAUAUAUAUAUAAAACUUAUAGAUAUUUCCUUAUUUUUUAUUUUUUUUUAUGAAAAUAUAUUAAAUUAUAUUUGUGAUAUUUUUUGUCCACAAAUUCGUGAUAUAGAUAUAUUAUAUAGAUAUUUCAUUUUUAUUAUUUAGAGCUAAUUUGCUGAAUAUACUAAAAAGGCUGAGAUAUCAUAGAAUGGGGGGAAAAUAGUAAUGAUAGGGGGAAGAAAAUUGGAGGGAUAUUGUGUAUGGAGUGCAAAUAUGGGAUAUUGAGUGUGCAGGGAAUACAAAUUCUCUAUUAUUUAUGUGAGUUUUAAAAAAACUUAAAAGAAAAGUAAAUUAAAAUUAAAAACCCAGUUAAAUAUCUAUUAAGCAAGAAAAUAAAAACGAUUUUACUAAUGGAAAUUAUGUAUAAUUUAUAAAUCAAUAAGGUUAAUUUUCUAAUUGACCAUUAUAAAAAUUAACGUGAACAAGACAAGUAUAAAACUGAUUUUACAAAUACUAUUAUAGAGAUGUUUCCUUCUUCUAUGAUUUUUUUUAUAAAUAAAUGUCAUUUUCACAUUUUUCACAUAAAUUAAAAAUAAUUAAAAUGUAUUUAUGUUUUUAACAGUUACAUUUAUUUAACAAAUAAUGAUUGAAAUAAACUAAAUUAUAUAUAAAUUCAAUGUGUUUGUAAUUAAUACUAAGUUUACAUUAUACUAUUUUUGUUUCAAAAUGAUGUAUAUUAGUUUUCACACAUAUUAAGCUUUGAUUAAAAAUUUAUUCUCUCCUUUUUUAAUAGAUGAUUUAGAAUUGUGUACAUAAUUUUUAAAAAAAAAUUAUAUUAUCUAAACAAAAACAUCAUUAGUUUUUUACCUAACCACAAUUUAAUCCACAACAUGAUAGAAUGUAUAAUAUAACUGGCCAUAUAGCAUUGUUGAUAAAAUUACAUAGAAAUUUGAAAACAUCAAUUAAUCUGGAACAAAAAAAUUCUCUAGAACUUCAAAUAUCAAAAAAGAAGGGAAAAAUAUUUUGUGAUUAACUAUUACCCAAGUUGUUAGUCAACUAAAACUCAAUAAACACAGUACUUUAUCAUAUUUCUUAAUAAAAUAUAUUGAAAAUGUGAAACAUGUAUUUUUAUAAAUAAUUUUUUUUCUAAAACCAAGUAUCAUUAUGAAAUAGAGAAAUUAAAUAAAUUACAUUAACAAUAUGUGGACUCAAUAAAUAAGUAUUAUAUGUGUCAUUAAUGAUAUAAUAAAAUAAAAGGAAUAAUAUUGACAAAAAAAAGAAUAAUAGUGUGGAAGUUAGGGGUGGGCACUUCGGUUAUUUUAUCGGUUCGGUUCGAGUUUGGUUCGGUUUGGUUAAUUUGGUUCUAGAAUUUUUCCAGUUGAAAUAAACCAUAGUUAAUUUGGUUUGGAUCGAUUUCGGUUCGGUUAUGUUCGGUUCGGUUUAUAUUCGGUUUGGUUUGUAUUUGAUUCGGUUUGUAUUUCGGUUCGGUUUCAUCAGAUUUUUCUUAGUUUAUUUAUUGUACAAGAAAUCUUUUAAAUGUAUGGUUGUCAUGAAAUAAUCGUGUUGGUCAUAAUAAAAAAUUAAGUAUGUAAAUUAAAUUCAAUAUAAAACCAAAAUAAAAACCUUUUAAAAAGUUACAAAUAUAGUUUAUAACUUUAUAAGAAUUCAAUCAAACGAAAAUUACCUAAAUAAAAAGAAAAAAAUAAUAUUGUUGUCUCUUAUAGCAUUAAAAAUUAAAAAAGCCUGGAAUGAAUCAUUUUCCAUGUGAUAUCAUAAAAAAACCUGCAACAAAUCAUCAAAUACUAUACGAGUAUUUAUCUAUAUUUUUACUAUAACUCUACACCCAUGAUGAUUCCAUAUUGUUCUUUUCACUAACUAAAAUUGAAAACAGAACACGUCUUUGAGAGAAUUUGAAGUUAUUAGAAUUGACACCACCAAAAGGAAAAAUAUGCAGGAAGGAGAGUAGGAGACGCAGAAAAGAAACGCAGCAGGGAACAUUUUUAAUUUAGGAUUUUAAUAUUUUGAUAUUACUAAUAUUUUUAAUUUAAAUAACUAUAAAAACAUUUCGGUUUAUCGGUUCGGUUCGGUUUAAACCGAACUGAACUGAACCGUUCGGGUUGGGAAAAUCUUCAACUGAAUGAUUUGAAAUGGAUUUUGGUUUGGUUCGAAUCGGUUUCGGUUCAGUCAGUUCGGUUCGAUCGGUUCGGUUCGAUUUUUUUGCCCACCCCUAGUGGAAGUGAGGACGUACUAGCGUCAGUGAUCGGAAUAGACAAAAAGACCAAAAAAGAAGCAAAGUGAUUGGAAAUAAUGGAUUUAUCGUUUGUACUUGGCGUGUACCUCUGAGUGGAAGCUGACAAUGAGAAAUGGACCCCUUAUUGUCAAUUAUUUAUUCAAAUAUGUUUUUAAUCACUAUUCAGUUUCAUCUUAAUUCAUACCAAUUGUACAAAAUUUCGUUCCACGACAAGAAUAAACAAAACAAAUAUUCCACAGAGAUUCUUUCAUUAAACAAAAAAAUAAAAACGAUUUUAAUACAGUAUACCAAAUACAAUAACACCUAUUAACACAUUUUUUGGUAAUCCAUAUUUUUGAGAUAAACAAAUAUAUUGCAAAUAAAGCUAAUAGUUACUGAUCGAGUUUGUGUGAUCACAUGUUUAGCGUGGUGUUCACAUGGUUUCUGUUAUAUGUGGGAAUGGGAGUGAACUCGCUGUGAAAUAACCUCAAAAGAAUAGGAAUACCCGCAAAUAUAGCUUGUUGUUUUCACUUAAAUUCACAGUCAAAGAAGAAAUUUCAGCAAUUAUUAGUUGAAAAUAUACUAUCUAGUGUCUCAAAACGAGUUGCGUGAAAAUUGAACGCUAGCUUUUUAACAACUGAAA